rnacentral:rRNA from 1 species
UACAGAGGGUGCGAGCGUUGUUCGGAAUUAUUGGGCGUAAAGGGCGCGUAGGCGGUGCGGUAAGUCACCUGUGAAAUCUCCUGGCUCAACUGGGAGCUUGCAGGCGAAACUGCCGUGCUGGAGUGUGGGAGAGGUGCGUGGAAUUCCUGGUGUAGCGGUGAAAUGCGUAGAUAUCAGGAGGAACACCUGUGGCGAAAGCGGCUCACUGGACCACAACUGACGCUGAGGCGCGAAAGCGUGGGGAGCGAACAGG